rnacentral:lncRNA from 1 species
AAAAGAUUAAACUUAAAAUUAGCGAUAAAAAAUAAACUAAGGCGAGCAGUAUUCUUACUUAGCUUUUACGUACUAGUUAUGGUUUGCCUAUGUUCCUAGAUAAUCAAAAUAUCAAAAAUCAUCCAAUAAAUAAGUUAGUUAUUCAGAGAUAUAUACAUGUAAACUAGCAAACAUAAGUGAAUAUUGUCCAAGGUAAAGAAAAGGAAGAAACUGGACUCUUGACUGUUGGGCUGGUGAGCCUAACCAGGCCCAGCAUAAUUCGGCAGACUCCAUCAUGCGCAUAAGGAGCAGGCUGGAUUUGAAUUUGUGCCUGAGUUCCCAACGGAACUUAGGAGGCCCAAUGCAAAACAUGCACACAAAAAAUAAUAAAAAAGAUAAUUAGUGUAUAUCAAUCAUAAAACUAAUUAAAAUAAAGAUUAAGAAAAAUAAUAAUGAAGAACUAAAGAAUAUGGUGAGACGACUUUUAUUUAUGUUAACCCUAAGGGGACUAAUGAAAGACAGUGACUAAAGGCUUGGUAUGAAUCCUCAUUUAUGGAUAUGAUCCCCUUUGUGAGCCCUUGACACUUCAGAGUUCACGAGGGUAUCACAGACCCCGAGCAGUACUUGUGUCAAGGAGAGAGAUCAUAAACACAAUAAGUUUUCACAUCCAAAUACCCUUAACCACCCACUAUUAAUCUUCCUCAAAAGUUUAAACAGAAAUAAAGGAUCAACACAGUAAUUUCAUAUGGCCAAGACAUCAACAGUAGGUGUAAGAGUCGUGAUAAACCCUUUAAGGAUUCAAGCACACAAAGACUCCACAACUGUGAACAAAUAGGAUACUGUAAUUCAUUAUCAAAGCACAGAAGAAGUCAAGGGCAUAUUAUUGGCUUAAGAGGAUUCAUAUUAGAGUAUAAGAUAUACAGGCAUGCAUGGGAUCACUGUGGAUACUUAGUUAAACAAGAAAACAAAGUACAUACCAUAGACACAUUUCAUUGCUUAUAGAUUCUUGAUCAGAAGUGUUAUCAGCCAAGUAUUACAUAGAGGUGAACAGAAGUGUAUAUUUUACUAUCUUCAUUAUAGGUUGAAUGUUCCAGAAUUCUCCUAGGCAGAUUCAAGAUUAUAAGAACAAGCCACAAAUAUUUCUAAGGCUUCAGCAUAGCUAAGAGCAGGUAUACAUCUCACUAAGACCUCACCACCUUAACAGUUAGGCUAUAAAGUCACAAUAUACUAACACUUUGAUAUGCAAACAGGUUCACUAACAACAUUUUGUACAUGAGUCUGUGUGUGUGUAGGUUAUUACAACAUCAUGGAUUAGUUUAACAGUUAAAAUUAUUUAAACAAGGACAGAUAAUUAGGGUCAGUUUCUUAAUAGGAUCAGUCACUAAACUCAAAUUAUUUCAUUACCACAGAAAGAUUAGGACUACUAUAGGUGAACACAUAGAUGCAAGGAUAAACCUCUUCAAGCUACUGUCAUAAAAUGCUCUAUGGGCACAACAAUACUAAUACAACAGGUGUGAACUCAGGUGUAGAAACUAAGAAGAGUCAUGACAACAAAGAGUUUCAUGCAGCAGGGCUCAAACAAUUAGUAAAUGGCAUUCAUUCCAGAGGUUAAUCACAUUCAGAUAUGAGAACAUGCCUUCUAACAUACUGAUAGAGUUUAUUGUAUGAUCUCUUUUGUUUCCAACUAUCAUAAGAAGCACACAAAAAUUAUUCUGUUAAAAUAGUAUGAACAUGGCACUGGCUAGAGUCCAGAUAAAAAUCAUCAAUGACGCAAUCAUGUUCCUAGAACUAAGGCAAAAAUAACACAACAUCUCAAACAUCAAGAUGGCUUGGUGUUAACAAGUUAACAGUGUACUCAAGAGGAGCUUAAGCGUCUGAUUUCACAGGGAAAUAGUUACUUGACUGACAUAUUACAUACAAUAUUGUUGAUAUAAGAUUUAAUUAAUCAUGAAGCUUCAAUAGAGUCUAAGAGUAACAACAAUAUACAGAUUACUAGAUAUGCAAAACAAGCAGGUUAUCACAUUUACCAACUGAGAUUGUUAGAGUAGAUAAGUUGAAUACAAGACAUGAAAUAUAGGGAAUCCACUUAUAAGACCAACAUUAUGUCACAAGUAGGCGGGUCAAAUCAUCUAGAGGUACAAAAACACAAAGAGAAGUUUAAGAGCAUGAUUUAAGUUAGCUUAGCUGUCCUAGUUUUAUUGUUCAACUAACAGAGGUAGAUUGUGCACAAAAUCAACAUAAAGCUUAACUUAGCUUUAUCAUAUAUGCAUAGCAAAGUUAAUCACAAGAAUAUCACUUAGUCUAGGGUCUUUUUACUAAUUGAAUCAUGAAGGAUAGAAGUCAAUAGCACAUAUUUAAUGACAGGUUUUAAUACAACAUAACUUAAUAAAAACACUCAUAAUUUAACAGUAAAAUAGCAUUUUAAAGAAGGGUAUAACAAAUACGACCUUACACUACUAACAUCUAACAUGAACAACAAAGAAUUUAUUAAGUAAUCAUCAAGAAGACAUAAUUAUCAAAUGGAUUCAAAGUAAGGAGGGGGUCAGUAGGUACUGACCUUCUAUAGGGCAGAAAACCAAGUAAGGACGUGUUCAACAUCCAUUUCAGAGAUCCAAACUCAAGAUCAAUAUAGCAGUUGACUCAAACCGGAGAAGAGAAAGAAAACACAAAAAUUGGAGAGCACUUAGUGAGAAAACCUUAAAGUUUAACUCAUUUUUUUCUUUUAUGUUUCGGAUAGUAUUUGAUGCGUGGUAGGUGUGAAAAUAGAAUGUCCCUUUUAUAGUGGCACUCAAGACACUUAGGGUUCCGAUUGAUUCAAAUGGGUAGUGGAGAGUGACGACAGUCGAAUGAUGAUAACAAUAAAGGUGAAAUCUGUGAAGAACAGAGGGGAAAAAGCAACACAGAUUUACCUGGGCACGAGGAGAUGACCGUUGAAUGCGAAGACCUAUCAGACAAAGCCCCAAUAUCCAAAGGUUACUAUGUUUGACCUAUGGAUACGAAUAAUGAUGAUGGAAUCAGUGACAAUAGCCAUGCAUGCCUUGGAUUUGAAAGAACGAAGGGAGAACAGAUAAUUCUCAGUAGCAUGAUUUAGGUCUAGAGUUUAAUUGAGGCUUUUGAAUUUUAGUGAUGAAAACAGAAGUAUACCGGCUGGAUUCGCGGAUUAUAGUGACAAAUUGGGUGAUUUGAGGUUUGAAUCCGUGACCUUGCACAAAUUUGUGCAAGGUUUGUGAUUGGGGGUCAGAUGGGAUGAGAGAAAGGAGAGGGAAUUGGGAAAGAAGGGCGGCCGGUUAGGUUGUGAAUGAGUAGGGUUUAGGGGUCUCUAAGGAUUAAAAAUGAAAGACUGAAUCUGAGCCGUUGGAUCUCUCGAUCAACGGCUCUGAUUUUUUAGAGAAUGAAAAUUGAUAAAAAUAAAUUAUUAGAAAAAUGGGGCUCGUUGGAUCUUUGUUACACAAUGGCUGAGAUGGGGUCUGGCAAAGGAUUUUAAAAAAUAAAGGAAAAAUGGGGACUAAUGUGGACUGUUGAUGAUUUGAAUCAGUGGUCCAGAUGUGUUGUGUUUGUUUUCUGUGCAUGGAAGAUGGGCGACGUGGCAUGAUGCCAUUGGUUCAGAGGAAGUGGCAUGGAUUGCCAACAUGGAGUAGGAAGAGUGGGUCUGGACCGGGUUAGGGUGUUUGUGCUUGUGUAUUGGGGCUAAGAAUAGUUGAAAUGGAAUAUAAAACCUGGCCACUUUGAGUUUAAUUGAUAAAUUAAAAUUGUAGCCUUUUGAGCUUUUGACCUCUUUUAAAAUUAACUUAAUUAUGCUUAAUUAAUUCUAAUAAAAAUACAAUAAAAUUUAAACAUCAGAUAUAUUAUAAAUUACUCUAACUAAUUAGUUAUUGCUAUGAUACUUCAUUUAUUAAAUUAUGAAACUAAUUUUAGCUAAUUAAAGUAAUCAAGAUAAUUUAACUAUAGAUUAAGGACUGAUUUAUUAAAUUAAUUGUAAAAGUUAUUAUUAAGAUAUAAAAUUUAUUUGAAUAUUUCAAAAUAAUAAGAGUAAUACAAUUUAUAAAUUUUGAUAUCAAAUUGCUAUUAAUUCAACAAUAUUAAUUAUUAUUUUCCUAUUAUAUUUUGGAAAAAUAGGUAUUAAUUAUUAGAAAUAUUGUACCACAUUUAUUGCUAAUUAAUAAGCAUAACUAAUUUAAUUUUAAAAGAGAUUCAAUAUUGGUCGUCAACAACUGCCCCUCUUUGACCGGAGACGAUGAAAGAGUUUUCGGGCAAAGAAAUUACCUUAAAGACCAGUUUUGUCCCGACUCUAGGCAUGUAAUUGCAGAGAUGGUACAUGGGAUUGGGAAAGAUCAUGAGUUAUGAGAUUAGGGACCAAAUUCUGGCUUUGAAUCGCCUACAUACCUCGGGCUUAACGAGGAUCAUGACUCAUGUAGUUCUGAAAUGAUGAUUUAGAGAGGGUGGCACUUGCAGGAAUUGCCCCAGUAUCGUGUUAUGACGAUACCGCAAGACGGAAGAAUUUUGGAACCCGAAUGACUUCACAAACUGUAGCUUGACUAGGAGACUUGAAAGACUUGACGAUUUUAAAGUUCUACUGAUCGGAUUGAGUUGGAGUUUGAAUCCUUGGCUCGCUUAUAAGUUUGAUGUCCCUCAUAGCGUUGUAACAUGGUUUGCUGCUUAGAAGAAGUUCCACGUUGUAGUGUUUGAUCCUGCAAAAAAGAAGAUAGACACAUACCCAUAUAUCAUAAUGCAAAUACGUUAAGAUAUGAUGUAAAUAUGUAGGGAUGAUGAUGCUUGGCUUCCGGCUAGCCGUUAUUUGGGAUCUUGGGGCGAUGGGAUGUUUGAAUCUGAAAAUUCGAGAUCUGGAGCAUUAUUUGGGAUGUUAGGGAUGUGCCUUUGAAUCUAACUUGAUAGUUAGCCGGGCUGUGUACCAUUCCGUAGCUUUCAGAGCAUUUUAAUCUCCAUGUAAUUGUAGUAUCUCCGCGCGAUGGGAGUAGGUAACUUUAAAUUUAAAAUCUCUGCACGAUGGGAGUAUCUCCGCAUGAUGGGAGUAGUUGACUUUGAAUGUAAAAUCUCCACACGAUGGGAGUAGUUGAAUAUGAAAGUAAAAAUGCAUUUACGGUGUAUAAAUAAAAUGUCAAAAUAUUCAAGAUAAAGCAGAGAAGUAAAUGAGCCUUCCCAAGAGAUACUCUUGACUGUAGAACUAAUUUGCAGCCGUCGAUCGGCGAAACGUGUGGCAGAAUUNNNNNNNNNNNNNNNNNNNNNNNNNNNNNNNNNNNNNNNNNNNNNNNNNNNNNNNNNNNNNNNNNNNNNNNNNNNNNNNNNNNNNNNNNNNNNNNNNNNNNNNNNNNNNNNNNNNNNNNNNNNNNNNNNNNNNNNNNNNNNNNNNNNNNNNNNNNNNNNNNNNNNNNNNNNNNNNNNNNNNNNNNNNNNNNNNNNNNNNNNNNNNNNNNNNNNNNNNNNNNNNNNNNNNNNNNNNNNNNNNNNNNNNNNNNNNNNNNNNNNNNNNNNNNNNNNNNNNNNNNNNNNNNNNNNNNNNNNNNNNNNNNNNNNNNNNNNNNNNNNNNNNNNNNNNNNNNNNNNNNNNNNNNNNNNNNNNNNNNNNNNNNNNNNNNNNGCAGAUCCUGAUAAACAGCUGGAUAGACCUUCCCAAUAGACAAGCCAACAUCAGCUUGUUUGCUAAGCUCCACUUCCCUAGAGUUACCAGUUCUAGACCUUGGAGUUCCAUUAUAUAUAUAUAUAUAUAUGUUUGAUGGGUAGGUCGAGGCCCUGUCCCGACCAUGAUAUGGUUCAGUUAUCUCUAGAGGCUUGUAGAUGAGUCCUGUAUAUUUUGUAUAUCAGUAUUGUGGCCUUGCCCGCUCGGUGUACAUGUUAGUUUGGUAUUGUUGGUUGUAAACAUUCAUGGUGGCCUCGUCGGCCUUGAUUUGUAAGGUAGGCCUCAUCGGCCUUAGUGGAGGGUUACCACACCAGAGUUCAUAGUUAUAGAGUGGUACACUCGGGCCAAAUAUGGCACCGGGUGCCGGCCACGCCUCCUCAGGUUUGGGGCGUGACAAACUUGGUAUCAGAACAGUUCUAUCCUAGGGAGUCUACAAGCCGUGUCUAGUAGAGCCUUGUUUAUAGAUGUGUUGUGCACUACAUUAUAUAAACAGGAAGCUACAAGGCAUUUAGGAGUCUGUUACCCUUCUUUCAAAUCCAAAUCGUGCUAUAGAGCUGAGUUAUAAGAGUUCGAGCCAAGACUUAUGUUUGCUAAUUAUAUAAAGAUGCUUUCAAUUAGAAAAAUUAUAGCUAGCCAGUGGGCUAAUGCAGUAGUAGGUACGGGCAUUAGUAGAGAGAGAAUUCUUGACGACGUGGCCCUGCUUGAGGCCCUAUUAGAUCGUGCAUACCAGAUGGUGCACUCUAGAAUAGUACAGUCAGUUAUGAAUACUAGAACGUUCAAAAAUAUCAUAAAACAUGUAGUUGAAUCCUAGAAGGAUAAAUAUUUACCUUAGUAUGACUCCCGCCCCUAGUAAAAAGAGAAUAGUAGGCGACCCAAAGAGCAGUAAGAUGGAGCAAGGGGAGAUAAAAGUGAAAGAAUGUUUUGUUGAAGUUUUCAGAAUAAAGUAAUAGACAUAGAUAUUAGCAGGAGAACAAGAAAAGAGUAAAUGAAACAUUAUGAGUAAGAUGUUAUAAAUGGGUGAUAACGGUAAAUCAAAAUAAGACAAGAUGAUAGAGUCUAUAGUCAAGUGAAGGAAAAUACAAGAGGAGACAGGCCUUGAGUGUCACGCCCCAAAACCGAGGAGCACGACUGGUGCUCAAUCAAGUGAACCCGGCCGAGCAAGCCUAUUAGAUUUACUUCUACCCAACUUAUCCAUGAAUAAAAGGGGAUGCACUCCAUUAAUCAAACACUGAAAAUAUUUUAUUAACAACUACCGUUUCAUUCCAUUAACAACAUCAUUCAAUAUUUCCAAAAUAGUACGAGUUUAUAGAUUUAAUGAAAAAUAUGUUGCCAAAUACCAAUAGUUCUAAUUCAAUUCCCAACAUCAAAUACCACCCACAACCUGUCUACGGAGCCUCUAAGUAUAACUAAAGAGUAAUAUGGAAAUGCCGGCAAUAAGGCCCCAGCUAUACCUCAACUACAAAGUACAUGAGAAANNNNNNNNNNNNNNNNNNNNNNNNNNNNNNNNNNNNNNNNNNNNNNNNNNNNNNNNNNNNNNNNNNNNNNNNNNNNNNNNNNNNNNNNNNNNNNNNNNNNNNNNNNNNNNNNNNNNNNNNNNNNNNNNNNNNNNNNNNNNNNNNNNNNNNNNNNNNNNNNNNNNNNNNNNNNNNNNNNNNNNNNNNNNNNNNNNNNNNNNNNNNNNNNNNNNNNNNNNNNNNNNNNNNNNNNNNNNNNNNNNNNNNNNNNNNNNNNNNNNNNNNNNNNNNNNNNNNNNNNNNNNNNNNNNAAAUNAUAACUUUAAGUUCAUUAGUAAUGAAGUCUUUAUACACAAUAGAUUUCUUUCCAAUAAAUGGAGUAAAAUGAUUGGCAAUCGAAGCACAAUUUAAAACCAAACACAAUUUCCACUCACGAAUAUGUAAGAACGCAAAACACAUUGAAAAAAAAGACUUACAAAGCAUAACAUUAGCUAAAACAGCCACAUAUAGGCAUCACUUGAGUUCAUAAGCCUUUAACCAAUUAUAUUAUCGAAGUCAAUUUUGGAAUAGUUGAGUCAAAGCUCAUUUCAUAAUCUUUUUCACAUUAUUUUAUUUCAUUGGCACCAUUGGCCACAAGUAUAACUUUCAAUAUUGGCAUGUUGGCCACACUUUAUAUCCCCAAUUCACUGAUUUUACUUCCAAUCAUCUUUAUAGGUUAUCAACAAUAAGACAUUUCUAAUCAAGACUUUAGGUACACAUAUGAGAAAUUAAGAGUCUUAAGUAUAUUGAGAUUUUCUCACACAAUUUAGCAUACUAGCUUUCAUUUGAAAUAUGAUUCAAAGCCACAACAUUUUAAUACGCAACCCAUACUUUGAAACUCAUGGGAACAUUAUAGAGUUCGAUUCCAAGAGAGAAAGUUUAGCCAACAUACCUCAAUCGAGCUUCCUUAACUCUAAAAUAUUCCGGAAAUUCUUAGCAAUCCCAAUUUAUUUUGAGACAUAACAAAAAUUGAACCAUUAUUAGGAAGAUAUUCAUGAUCUCAGCACGUUUGAGCAUUUUAUCAAACACUAGGUGUUCAAAUUUAACCACAAGGUUCUUCUACAAGAUUUCCUUCACUCCACAACCCAAUCCUUAAUUAUUUAAGCUCAACAAUAUUUCCACAAAUCUUAUUGAUACAUGCAUGUAUAAAUAAUACCCUCAUACCCAAGAAUCACGCUCCCAAUUAACCAUCUUCUUUCCAAAUUCGAAAUUGAAAACUUGGGUAUGAAACCUUACCUGUUAGAUGAAGAACUUGUGGGAUUUCCUUGUUAAUCUUCCAAGAUUUGAGAAAGACUUGAUGAAUAAUUAGCCUAGGGUUUUCUCUCUCUCUAAAACACUCUCCCUUCUCUCUAAAACAUCAGAAGUUUUGCUCAAAAAUGACCAUUUGCGUGUAUUUAACGAAGUAGUGUCGGGUUUUAAAAAUCCAAAAAUGGAGCUACGGAACAGGUUCUGCGGUCACAUAUGCGACCGCAUAAUGGAUAUGCGGACCGCAUAUCGGUCGCAUAAUUGUUGACAAAAAGGAUCAAAAAUCUAUCUGUGUAUGCGGUCACUAUGCGGUCCGCACAACUGUUAUGCGGUCGCAUAAUGCACCACAUAACAGUUAUGCGGUCACAUAGUCGACCACAUAGCUGCUUCCAGAAUGGCCCUCUCCUGCUCACUUUUGCGGCCAAUAUGCGGCCCGCAGAGUGAUUAUGCGGUCGCAUAAUGGACCGCAUAAAUGUGUUUUUCUGCCAAAAAUGUUCCUUUACUUUCCGGUGCAUUGUUCAACCCAAAGAGUCCGAGUCACAGCUCGCAAGCUCGCCGUGAAGAAUUUAUACAAUCCUCAAACACGUAAGCCCAAUUCGGCACCACGAUACAUUAUUUUCUUUUGCAAAUUUUACCGGGCUUUACACUUAAGUACUUCAAAAUUUUUCGGGGUGUUACAUUGCGACUAUAAAAGAGUAUAUGCCAUAAAGUCAUAUCCUUAUUUCGAGAAAUGAGUUGGUGACUCUAACAUGAUUGCUAGAAGGCUAAGUUAGACCCCUAGAGUAAUAGAAAUUAGUAUGGGCUAGUAAACAAGAAAAAAAAUUGAACACGAUUUAGGGAACGAAGGAUUUGAUAAUAGUCGGCAUCGUAAGAAUUUCGGAAAUCGUGUUCCGGAAAUGAUAGAAUGGACAACAUAAGAAUAACCUUUAAAGGUCAUUCAGGAAGACGCUUCCCUAAAGCAAGCAAUGUGAGCAGAGUUAUAUUUAAGGGACUAAGUGUGCCAGUUACACUAGGUGUCACCCUCGCGCAUAAGAAAUCCAGUUAUCCCUGGUAAAGAAGGGUUACCGCAAGGCAAGUAAGAGUCAGUGAAGAUGUGAAAAGACGUCGAAGAUGAAGAGAUAAAAUAUUUUUAGGUAAAUCUUCAUAGCAUUAAGUACUCCCCUAAAGAGGGGAAGAUGAUGUGAUAUGGUAUUAAGUCAGAGUUAAGUGGUUCAGGUAACUAUAGAAUAGUAAAGGAAGAAUGCGGUAAAAAGGCGAAAGGAAUGAGAUUGCAUUUAUUUAGAUCCUACAGAUAUAUUACUACUCCAGAACAUUAUGCAAGCACGAUGUCGGGUAGAGGCAGUAAGGGUUCCCGGCCAGGAUGUUAUUGAUAAAUAAGUGUGAAUGGACACUUGAUACAUAAGAAGCCAGUGCAAGGGGUAAGUUAAGACAAAGGACAUAACCUAAGAGAGAGUACGCGGAAUAUAGAUAUGAGAAUAGACCAAUGAGUAGUUAGUAGUCGAUUCAGGAAGAGCCUGGUUAUGGCUAGACGAGAGGAUAUAGAUAAAUCAGCAGAUUAUGCCAGGUAAAGGUAGUGAACCCCAACAUGGGGAAUUCAGUCUCGCAGGUAUGUUAAGGCUAAACCUUUACUUCAUUUUGGCAUGAUCCCGUAACUUCAUGUGUUUGAUAACGAGACAUAAAGAGAAGUUCAUAUCCUGAAUUUAUGAACAUUAUCCUAGUCUCAUAAGUUAUCAUAUUCUCCCUUAUCAGGACUUUUUAUUCAGUUAAGUAUUGUCUUCUUCCAGUCAAGAGAGAAGAGGGUCUAUAUAUAUAUAUACAGUAUUACNNNNNNNNNNNNNNNNNNNNNNNNNUUACAGUAUUUUCACCACCAUCGAGCUAUAAUCGGUGGGCAGCCCCUAUUGGGCAGUAUUACAGUAUUUUCUCAACCAUCGAGCUAUAAUCAGUGGGCAGGCCCCUAUUGGAAAACCUCUGAUCAGAUGGUAAGUUACAUACCGAGCCUACUGUGACCGAGCACCUAUGAGCAAGCCCUGAAUGGCUAAGAUACAAAGCCUAGUAUGGCCGAGCGCCUAUGAGCGAGCCUACUACGGCAGAGCAGUUACAUAUACCGAGCCUCAUAAGGCUGGAUAACUAUUUUACUUACUAUAUUGAGAGAGUUCAGUUAGUAUCAGCAGGUAAGCAUAUCUUCAGAUUAUCUUUGACUCCUAGUUACUUUUAGUUAUUAUAUUAUCAGUUCAGUUUUAGCUUUCAGUUAUUCUAUUGCCUUACAUACUCGGUACAUUAUUUCGUACUGACGUCCCUUUUGCCAAAGAUGUUGCAUUUCAUGCCUGCAGGUCCUGAUAGACAACUGGAUAGACCUUCCCAGUAGACAGAGCCAAACAUCAGCUUGGUUGGUAAGCUCCACUUCCCCGGAGUUACCAGGUCUAGACCUUGGAGUCUAUUUUAGAUAUACUAGUUUGAUGGGUAGGUCGAGGCCCUGUCCUGACCAUGAUACAGUUAAGUUAUCUCUAUAGGCUUGUAGACGAGUCCUGUAUAUUUUGUAUAUAAGUAUAGUGGCUUUGCCAGCCCUGUGUAGAUAUUAGUUUGGUAUUGCUGGUUAUAGACAUUCAUGGUGGCCUCGUCGGCCUUGAUUUUUAAGGUAGGCCUCAUCCGCCUAAGUGGAGGGUUACCCCUCCAGAGUUUACAGUUAUAGAGUGGUAUGCUCGGGCCAAAUAUGGCACCAGGUGCCGGCCACUCCCCAGGUUUGGGGCGUGACAUAUUGCAUCGAAUACUUGACUCUGGAAUACCUGCAAAGAAUUUUAAAUUAGUAUUUAACUAUAUGAGAAAUUGAAUUGAAUAAUAAAGGUGAGAUAGGGGCUCAUGAAAUUGUAGCUGGUCCGUCAUUGAUCCCGGUGUGCUUUGGUCUCCUUGAUUUUCGUCAAUCCUGCGAUCAAAGAAACUUCUUAGUAAGGGAGGGGGAGGGGCAUUGAUUUGUGUUGAUUGUAGACCUGGCCUUGCCCUGGAUUAGGUGGGUUAUACCAUCAUGUUCGAUAGGUGGAAGAGUAGAAUAUUCUAAAGAUAUUUUGAAAUGUCGUUUAUGUUUAUGGUAAACGUCAUUGUUCCGGAUUAUGACAUAUUUAGAAAUUCUUUAUGAUAGGAGUACCAUUUUUGGGUGGCUCUAUUCUAUUGUUGACGAUCUCCUAGGUAUGCCUUUGAUGACGAGCUUCUUGCCAUCGUAAUCACACCCUAAUCUAAACAAAUGCAUUACAAAGGACUUUCUAGGGUUAUGACCGAACCUUUUCAGGUUGCCUACGUAUCUAAGUGGAAUCAAGUCGGAACAUAGUUCAAGGAUGAUAAAAUGAUGAAAUGAAUUAUGAUGACCGAGCCUGACUCAGGCAUCCUACGUAUCCAAAUGGAAUUAGGUCAAAAUGUAGUUAGAUUAUAAUAGAUGCAAAGUGUUAAAAUUUCAAAUGAUAUAGAUGAGUUUGACUCAGUUCCUAUGAUCCAAAUGGAAUCAGGACAAAAUGUAGUUUGAUUACAAUUGAUGACUAAAUUCGAUGUGGAUUGCCUAUGUAUUCCUGCCAAAGGAAAUCAAGUUGCGGCGUAGUUUCGAAUACAUACAAAAUGACAUUUGGAUUCUAUUACAAGAGGGGGAGGGAGACCAAACACUACGUGGGUUGCCUACAUAUCCCACUGUGGAAAGUCAGGUCAGGCGUAGUUCUAUUAUAACAAAACCCUAACUCUAUUAUCUUCAAAUAUAGUAUGUCUUGAUUGCGUCUGAAUUGAUUGGCUUUGUGCUGACUCUGUCGUCCAUUUCUACUAGGAUUAAUGCUCCUCCGACAAUCCUCGAUAGACCAUAUAAGGACCUUGCCAAUUCGCUGCGAACUUCCUCUUGGCCCCUUCUUGAUGGGGGAAUAUCUUCUUCAAAACCAACUACCCCGGUGUGAACUGCUGAGGUUUCACUUUUUUGUUGAAUGCGUUGGCCAUCUUAUUUUUAUACAACUGACCAUGACACACUGUGUCCAUUCUCUUUUCAGUAAUGAGCAUGAGUUAUUCUUUCUUGACACGCAUCCAUUCUACAUCAUCUAGCUUGGCUUUCUGGAUAACUCUUAAAGAUGGUAUCUCGACUUCUGCGGGUAUCACAGCUUCUGUGCCAUUUACCAAUAUGUAAGGAGUUGCCCCAAUAGAUGUGCUCAUAGUAGUGCAGUAACGAAGAAGGGCAAAGGAUAGUUUCUCGUGCCAUUUCCUGUGAUUUUCCACUAUCUUCCGCAAGAUCCUCUUGAUGUUUUUGUUGGUUGCUUCAAAUGCUCCAUUCAUUUAUGGCCUGUAGGAGAUGGAGUUACAUUGAAUGAUUAUUAACUUCUCACAAAUAUCCAUCAUGAGAUCGCUAUUGAGGUUGGACGCAUUGCCAGUUAUGAUUGACCAUAGAAUCCCAAAUCGGCAUACUAUGUUGUUACGGACGAAAUCUGCCACCACCUUCUUUGUGACAACCUUGUAUGUAGAGGCUUUGACCCAUUUGGUGAAGUAGUCGAUGGCUACUAAGAUGAAACGAAGCCCAUUCGAUGUGGAAGAUUCUAUAGGUCCAAUCAUAUCCAUGCCCUAAACGGGAAACAACCAAGGAGAACUUAUUACGUUUAACUCAUUCGGCAAAACCCGGAUGAAAUCCUCGUGAACCUAACACUGGUGACACUUCUGCACAUAACGGAUACUAUCACUUUCCAUGGUCAUCCAAAAGUAUUCGGUUGUCAAGAUCUUAUUGGCUAGGGUGAAACCAUUCAUGUGAGACCCGCACGUUCUUGCAUGUAUUUCUUCCAAUAUUCUUGUUGCUUCAGCAAUAUCCACACACAUUAAUAGACCCAAGUCUGGGGUUCUCCUAUACAGGACUUCCCUGUUAAGGAAAACGUGAUUUGCUAAUCUUCUUAAUGCUUGCUUCUGACCCUUGCUUGCACUUUCUGGGUAGUAUCUUGCUUCGAGGAACCUUUUGAUAUCACGGUACCAAGUCUUACCAUCUGGCUCUUCAUCUACAUGGAAACAAUAUGCAUGCUGAUCUCGAACCUCUAUCUCGAUGAGGUCGAUGUAAUUCUUGUCUGGGUGCUAAAUCAUGGAUGAUAAGGUUGCAAGAGCGUUGACGAAAUCAUUCUGGAUUCUGGGAACAUGUUUUAACUCGAUCUUGGUGAACUUCUUACACAACUCCUUUACGUAGUGCAGGUAUGGAAGGAUCUUGACAUUCUUGGUGGUCCACUCACCCUAUACUUGAUGUAUCAGCAAUCAGAAUCUCCUAUGACCAAAAGUUCCUUGAUGUUCAUGUCGACUACCAUCCUAAUCCCGAGGAUGCAUGCCUCAUAUUCUGCCAUAUUAUUUGUGCAAUAGAACCUUAUCUUAUUAGUUGAAGCUGGAUAAUGCUGUCUUGACUCGAAAUUAAGGAUUGCCCCGAUUCCUACUCCCUUGAAAUUUGCCACUCCAUCAGAACAAAUCCUCCACCCUGGAUAUGACUCUUAAAUGUCCUCCCUAAUGAACAACACUUCUUCAUCUGGGAAAUAUAUGGUAAGUGGCUUGUAAUCCUUGUCCACCGGGUUCUCUGCAAAAUGAUCAGCCAAUGAUUGUCCUUUGAUAGCUUUCUGCGCCACGUACACAAUGUUGAACUUACUGAGAAAGAUAUGCUAUUUGGCCAAAUUUCCCAUAGGCGUUGGCUUCUGGAAGAUGUACUUAGCGGGCCGAGUCGGGAUAUCAAAUAUGUGGUAUAUACCGAUAGGUAGUGCCUUAACUUCUGAGUGAUCCAGAUCAAAGCAAAGCAGGUCCGCUCUAACAAGGUAUAUCUAGCUUCGUAUGGUGUGAACUUUUUGCUCAGGUAAUAGAUAGCUUGUUCUUUCUUUGUAGUCUCAUUGUGUUGUCCCAACAUGCAUCCAAAUUCAUUAUCUAAAACGAACAAGUAUAGUAGUAGCGGCUUCCCAGGUUCAGGAGGAACUAACACUGGUGGACUCGACAAAUACUCCUUGAUUCUGUCGAAAGCUUUCUGACAUUCCUCUGUCCCCUUGGUAGCGACAUCUUUCUUCAACAACUUAAAAAUUGGCUCACAGAUUACUGCUGAAUGGGCUAUGUAAUUCAAUCUUCCAAGAAAGAUUAUCACAUACUUAUUGAUAUUGGGUGGAGGCAAGUCUUGAAUGGCCUUGAUCAUUGAGGGGUCCAUAUCUAUCCCCUGUUUGCUAAUUAUGAAACCUAACAGUUUUCCUGCGAGAACUCCGAAUGCACACUUUGCAGGAUUCAACUUCAAACUGUACCUUCGCAACCGCUCAAAGAACUUCCUUAAGUCUUUCAAAUGAUCUGCACUCUUUCGAGACUUGAUGAUGAUGUCAUCCAUAUAUACCUCAAUCUCCUUGUGGAUCAUGUCAUAAAAGAGGGUCGUCAUAGCCCUCAUGUAGGUAGCACCAACAUUCUUGAGACUAAAUGGCAUGACCAUGUAGCGAUAAACUCCCUAUGGUGUGGUGAAUGCUAUCUUUUAUGCAUUUUCUUUGUACAUAAGAAUCUGGUGGUAUCCAACAAAACAAUCCAAAAAUGAUUAUAACUCGUGUUCGCAUAGUUAUCCAUAGGAUAUGACUAUUCGACAGAGGAAAGUCAUCCUUGGGACUGGCUUUGUUGAGAUCUCGGUAGUCCAUGCAUAUCCUGAUCUUCCCAUCCUUCUUAUAUACCGGCACAAUGUUUGCCAACCAAGUAGGGUAAUUGGUGACCCUUACUACAUUUGCUUCUAUCUGUAUUGUAACUUCUUCCUUGAUCCUCAGACUCAAAUCUGGCUUGAAUUUUUGGGGUUUCUGUUUGACGGGUUGUUUGGCGGGAUCUGUGGGUAAUCGGUGCGAGACAAUGUCGAUACUUAGUCUGGGCAUGUCGUCAUAUGACCAAGUGAAUACAUCUAUGUAUUAUCGAAGGAUCUCUACCAAUUCUUCCUUCUGUUCCGCCUUCAGAUGGAUACUGACUCGAGUCUAUUUCACAUCUUCUUCAUUUCCUAAAUUAAUCACUUUUGUUUCUUCGAGGUUGGAUUUCUUCUAGAUUUCUAGCUGCUCGAUCUCUUACGGGAGGUUCUCAAGCAUCAUACUCUCGUCGUACUCCUUGUAAUCCGAAUCGUUUUGCACAAGGGUUUCGUUACAUGUCAUAAUCGCGAAACGUGAGUUUUUAUUGAUUUGAUUACUGAAAAGAAAAAUUGAGUAUAAAUAAAGAUAAAGAUGAAUUUGCGAUGAUUUCAGGAAAGUAAUUCUUUUUAUUUUGCCAAAAGUAACAUCACAGCGUUCAAAGAGGCAAUUUAACAAAAAGGUACAGGCAUGGUACAGGCCUCAGUUGACCAUGCAUUUUUGAAAAGUAAUACAAUUCCACACUACCAAGACUCCCGGCGAACCAGGGAUGGACUGGCGGUCCAGUUCUGCAAGGUCUCUCCUGGUUCGGCAUCUCGAAUGGUCGGUGUCUUGAUAUCAGCUUUGCCACAACAUUCCUCGAUCAUGGCCACAAACAAUCUUCCCAUCCCAUCGGUGAUAUCACCUUCUGGUGGUGAGAUCUGACCCGGGCUCGGAACACGCUCUGGUAUAAAAACCUUCUUCCUAGGGUUACCAUUAUAGAUUCUUCCAGUUAUAGACUGAUACCCCAAGCCGGUCGUACCUUUCUACCCUUUUAGUUCAAUUGGCUCUGUUAUCCCAUCUGAUCGGGCUCCCAGCUCGGUCCCUGGUCGAUAUUCAUACUUCAUCAUUUCUCACAUUGCUAUAUUUGACCUAUAUGGUGAUUGCAUGCUAUGAUUUUGCUCAUUCUUCUCCAUUUCUAUUGCUUGCAUGAUCUCGACUGCAUGGAAGGUGACCCCAUCUAAUCCUUCUAUGAAAUAAACCACAUGCUCUAAGUAAUCUGAUCGGCUCCACUUCCCAUGUAUCACAAUCUUCUAGCAAUCCCACUCGAAUUUCAUACACUGAUGGAGAGUGGAAGGAAUUUCCCCUUCCAUGUGUAUCUAAGGCCUUCCUAGUAGUAUAUUAUAUGAAGACGAAAUGUCCAUUACUUGAAACAAUAUUGGGAACUCAAGUGGUCCAAUCUUCUAGGCUAAGUAGAUUUCUCCGAUAACAUCCUUCUGCGACCCAUCGAAAGCCCUUACUCUUACAUGGCUCUCUUUUACUUCCCUCAAGUGAAUGCCCAAUUGUCGUAGAGUAGAGAACAGACAAAUGUUUACUCCGGAUCCUCCGACGACAAGCACCGGAGACACGACGUUUUCUCCAAACUUGAUUGUGAUGUGCAGAGCCUUUUUGUGAUCCAUACCUUCCACAGGAAGUUCAUCCCUCCGAAAGGAAAUCUUGUUUGCCUCCACCAUUUUCCUGAUGGUUGUUGCUAGUGCCUCACUGGUAGUAUUGCUUGGCAUACUUACCCUGCUUAGUGUUUUUAUCAUAGCAUCCCUGUGACUGUCGGAGCUCAUCAACAAAUCCAUAAUUAAUACGUGGGCAUGAGUCUUCCUCAAUUGUUCUUCUACGGAAUAUUCUUUAACCAGCAUCCUCCUCCAAAACUCUGCUACCUCCGCGUCUGUUAUGUUUCUCCUCUGAUUCUGCUCUCUACUUGGGUUCCCUCAGUUUACCUCUUCUGGAGCGUAACACCUUUUUGACCUAGUCAUCCUAUGAGCAGCUGCGGUGUCUAUUAUUUAGCCCUUUCCCUUCAACUUUUAAGUCCAUGGAACUACUUUAUAUUCUCGACUCCCCUCAUUUUGAACAGUGGUGGUGGACUGUUGUUGGUAUGUCUCACAAGAGGUUUCAACCGCACAGUGAUCAAUGGAUUUACCCGAGGGGGUGUUCUUGCAGCUUCGGCAUUCCCAAUAGUGACGAUAGUACCUUUCAAGUCAUAGUCCUUGUCUUAUGUGAUCUUGUUGGAUCCUUGGUUUCUGUGGUUUGGUAGUGGGUUAUGGUUUAAAUUUGGUUGGGCUAGGGUGCACUGGGUAGCUCCACUCUUGAUUAAUAGUUCGAUCUUAUUCUUGAAUCUAUAAUAAUCCUCGGUGUCAUGCCCAGGAACAGCUGAAUGAUUGGCACAACGCUUGCUUGCAUCGAAAUAGUUGGAGGGUUGGUUGGGGAUUCUUCCUUCCACCGGGUAUAUUAGUCCAACUCUUUUCAACCUUUCAAAUAAUUUGGUUAAAGGCUCAACAAUUGGGUUAAAGUUUCUGGGAUUCCUUUCUUCAACGUAUUGACGUGGCUUGGGUGUAUAUGCAUGUCUGUUUUGGUGGGUUGUGGUUUGAUCUGGAGCAUAUGGAUGUAUAUUGGCUCGUGGCAGGUUGUAGUGGGGUUGAGCAUUUUAGUAUGGUUGUGUGUUAUACACAAGGGUAUAAGUGGGUUGAUGUGGAGGGUGAGUGUUUGUGGAGUAGGAGUUGGUUCGACGAGGAGUACUUGAUUGAUAGUAGGGGACGAUCGCCAUUACUUCCUCUUUCUUUCUUCCCACUGUCGAUGAAACCAGAUUGUAUAACUUUGCCAGCAGCUUGUAGCGCGACCAUUGACUGUAUCUUUCUUGACAUGAUAACUUCCUCCAAGAAAUCUUCUAUUUUGACCAGCUAGGGAAAUGUUUGCCCCAUCAUACCUAUCAUCUUUUCUAAAUAGAUCCCUUCUUGAGCGUAAAAAAAUUACUCAGUUAGCUCAUUAUCAUCCAACAGAGGUUGAGUCCUAGCAGCUUCUGAUAUCCAGCGGCGAAUAUAUUUUUAAAUGAUUUAGAGGGCUUCAUUUGUAGAUUCACCAAAGCGAAUAUAUCCGGAGUGAUUUCAGUGUUAAAUCUUAUGCGAAUCAUAAAAUCUUCGGCCAUGUCCUACCACUCGCUCCAAUUCCCGGGUCUUGUAUGGUAUGCCAAGUAAGCGCUUCUCCAGUUAGAAUCCUUAUAAACAGUUUUAUUCUUAACUUUUCAUUUUUCCCACUCUGACCAACUUGUCGUGAUACGCUCUCAAGUGAGCGUAGGGAUCACCAGUUCUGUCAAAGAUAUUGAACUUCGGAGGCUUGUAUCCUGCAGGCAUGCCAAUAUCUGUAUGUAUAAAUAGGUGCUCAUAAACCAAGCUCUUGCUCCCUCGAGCAAUUUGGAGUUUCUUCUUCUGUUUCCUCAAUACUUGUAGUUGUUCCGAUAAUGAUUCUUCCUUGUAUAUUGAAUCUUUCUUCAUUUCGGCAUAUUGGUCUAUCUCAUAGGGCACUCUGACAAUGAUGGGAGCGGUAAAGGUAGGCUCAGAAGCGGCAUAUAUGUAAGGCCCCAUAAAAAAAUAAUUCUAAUGAUUAAGACUUCAUAGUGCACCAAUGACGUUUGGGAAUAAUAUUAUUUUUUAAGUACUAAAGGAGACCUAUGGAGUGGAACCACAUUAUUUUGUCAUGAAAAGUGUUUCAGAACAUAUUAAUGAGGUUUGUAAGUGGGAAGAAGUUAUUAGAACGAGUUGGAUAUAUUAAGUGGAAAGACGUCUAAAUGUUUGCACUACACUUGACUUUGAAUGGUUAUAACUCUCAUAAUAUAAAGGUAUUUCCCAUGCAUUUGUUCCCUAAAGCGUAGCUCUUUGAGUCUAGUUUCUAACGCAUCAAGCCAUUAGUCAUUUAGACAUUCCUACUAAACGUUAUGAUCAAAUUACCAAAGUCAGAUCACCCAGUUAUUUUGGCGGACAGCGAAGCAAGGCUUGCUUCGCCAGACCGGGCGCGGAUCCUGUCAUCCCUUGUAUGCUGUGGACAGCGAAGUGAGGCUCACUUCACCAGACUGGGCGCGCCCCAGCUUUAGGUCCUUUUAAGUCAUUUCGUGGGCUCAUUUUCCCUAUUUUAUUUGGACGAAUUUUGGAGUUUUCCUCCACUCUCUCAAGACCCCCAAAUCCUCCCAUCUUCAAGAAAAUAAAUCCCCAUUGUUUUGGUGUGAAUCCUAUCAUUUCCACACUAGACGUAACUCAAUCCACCUUGAAAUCCUUAGAUUUUCAAGAAAUUGCUUCAAGAACUAAAGGGAGGAUUUUGCAAGAUUUCAUCCAAAAGGUAAUUCUACACCCUUAGACUUAUAUGCAUGGAUUUAUUAUGGGAAUAUGAGUAAUAAUUGAGUAUUGGAACUCAUGGGAUGGUGCUUGGAAUCCAUAAGUUCCCAAUUUAAAAACUUAGCCAUUGUGGAGAUUGAAAGGUGAUUAUUUGAUGGAAUUUUGUUGGUUGGGUGAGGAUGGAUGGUCAUGCAUGUGAUUGUUGGAAGUUAUAAAUUGUUUAAGAAUGAUGGUGGGAUAAAUUUUGGUAAAUGGUGGUAGUUGGAUGAACUAAUUCUAUGGUUUAGAGAUGUAGAGAUUUAUGCCUACUAGGUGUUUGAUAAAGUGUCUAAAUGGNNNNNNNNNNNNNNNNNNNNNNNNNAGUAUAGUGGAUCAUUGUAGUAUCAUUAUGGGGCUAAUAUGAGGUAUGUUGGCUAAACUUCUCUCUUAGAAUUGAAUCCCGCGAUGUUCUCGUAAGUCUCAAGUAUGAUUGGCCAAUUUCUUAUUUCUCAUGUCCCGAGUUAUUCAUUAUAAAUUUGACUAUUCCGAAUAAGCUUUGUGUCGAAAGAUGUAUGUUUAAAAUGUGUUCCGAAUGCUCUUGUCAUAUUAUGUUAUCAUUUGAGAAUGUUUUCAAAGUAUGGGUGGUGUAUUAAAAUGUUAUGACUUCAAGUCAUUUUUCAAAUGAAAGCUAUUAUGCCAAAUUAUGUAGAAAUAUCAAUGUGCUUAAGACUCUUAUUUACUCACAUGUGUAGUCAAAGUGUUGAAUAGAAAUGCUUUGUUGUUUGAAAGUCAAAGUGAAAUAUGAGAUACGGCGAACGUGCACAUUUGGGGCCACUAGUGCCAAAGAAAUUAAGAGACAUGUAAAAGUGUUGAAAUGAGUUGUAAAUCCUUUAAAAAAUAAACACUUUGGGAGUAUCGUUACUCACCGAGGAAGGGUAGGUUGAAAUAGCCUAGCCCCAAAAUUACACGUGCCGUUGUAGGAGUGAAUUGUGAUUAUUUCCCUCAUUUGGGGUGAGAUUGAUGUGAUGAGUAUAUUCUCCUUUAUUGGGAAGAGAUGAUUGCUAGAAAAGGGUGAUGCCGAUCGACACGACAUUGUGGUGAGAUGCCCUAGCCAGUCGGGUCGUGAUCGGACGCCAUGCCGCACACAUAGUAGUGAUUGUGCUUGAGAUUGUGAUUGAGAUAAUGAUUGAGAUUUUGAUAGUGUUUGUGAUUGUGGUUGAUGUCUUUGGUUGAGACGGCCUAGCCGAUCGUGCUAUGAUCGGACUCUAUGCAAAAAUCACGGUGGUAUAUCGAUGCUAAAGAUCUCCCAAUCUAAAAUAAUGAAAUUUACUUGAAAUCUUAUCUUGCUCCUAACUUGAUGUUUUAGUAUUGUUUGAGGCUUCCGUUUAUUUUAUGACUGCUCUUCCUUGUAUUGUUACCUGUUCUAAUGAGAGGGUGUUUAGUCAUACAUACUAGUACUAUUCCAUAUGUACUAACGUCCCUUUUGACGGGGGCGCUGCAUCUUAAAUUGAUGCAAGUGGUUCCGCAGCAGGUGGCAUUGAUCAUUGAUAGCAGUACACCCUCUUCUCAGCAGAUUUGGUGAGCCCCAGUUCAUUCGGAGUCGUGUAUUGUUUGUCCCACGUGUAUUAUGUUUUGAUGUAUAGCCGGGGCCUUGUUGCCAGUGUUAUCAUAGUAUUUUGUAUCCAUAGAGGCCCCGUAAACACAAAGUGGGUUGUAUAUGGGUGUUGGGAAAGUAAAACUAGCCUUGUUGUAUUUGAAUCACUUAUUGCACUUUAACUGUGAUUAUGUAUGUAUUUUGAGACUAUAAAAUGAAGUGACUAAUGGUAAUGGAAUUGUCAUUGUUCACGGAAUCCACUUAAUGGUUAAUUAAUGCUAUAAAUGUAUCUUCUCUUUAUUGAUGGACGAGUUGGGUAGAGGGUAUUGUAAAGGCUUGCUUGACCGGGGUAUCUCGGUUGAGCGCCGGUCAUGCUGCCCAAGGUCGGGGCGUGACAAAUAUGGUAUCAGAGCCUAUGGUUUUAAAGUGUUCUAGGAUGUUUCGGAACCGUGUCUAGUAGAGUCCUUCUUAUCGGUGUGUUGUCGACCACAGCGAUAAUUAGGAGGCUACUUGGGCAUUUAGGAAUGUUACCCUUCUUCAACUCUUUAGAUCGUGCGAUAGAGCUUGGCUAUAAAAUUAUCUUCUAACUCAUGCGUUGAGGUUCAGGGUAAGUUUAAACGAUCUUUCGUCUAUUCCAAGUAAUAUUGUCAUAUGGCAUGAUAAAUGGGUAAAGACCUGAAUAUUAAAGAGAUGGCACACGUAUCAUGUUGAAUGAAUGGUAUGGACAUAUAAGAUAAGUAUAUAGUGUAAGAAGUGAUUACCUACCUCCAAAGAGACAUUGGCAUGGUAAUUAAGACCUAGGCUUAACUAGUACAUGUGGAUAGUGUGGGAACCAUGUAUAUGAUCCUAAGAUGUUAAAGAAAAUUUGUUACAUAGGCAUGUGGUAUAUGAAAGGCAUGACUUGGAGGGUAAUGACGAUAGUGAAGGUCUCUCACGGGAGACAAGAAGUUAUGAAAGAGAUAAUGAUGAGUUCUUUAUGCCCAUAUGUGACUUGUUUGGCAAUGAUAAGUCCAAGGAGGAGAAAAAAAGGGAACAUCAAAGUAUAUGUAAUAAGAUGACUCUUUGAGUAUAAGGAGAGUCAACUGAACUCAUAAUGAGAAGAUCCUUGCACCAUGAAUGUUAUAAGUGUCCCAGAAAUGUACGAAGUUGUGUUACACUCCUAAAUGAUAUUGACAUGAGGAUUUUGGGUCCCAAGCAUGUGUGGCUGAAUAAGAGUUGAGCACUUAUGAGGUUAAUACCAUGGCAACUUAAACCUCCCUAAUAGUCGAUCAUAUACAAGAGGACUAGAGAUAUGAAACAUAUGUCUCUCAAGUUGCUAAGUUCAAGACUUGUGUCAAAAUCUGGAACAUUCUCCUAAGUAAGGAAGGAAGGGCCAUAGUGAGUCUACUUAAGCUCAAUAAAACAAGAGUGAACCAUGUAGCUAUGAUGUUUGAAUAUUUUAUUGAAGACAUGUGUAGUCUAGAAAAGUGGUAAGGGUUAAUGUGAUGCUCUGAAAAGAUACGCUAAUGAUAGACCACUAGUACACCCAAGAGUGUGGAAGGUUAAGAAAGGUAAAUUCUCCAUACAUGACAAUUUACAUGACAUGGUCAAUGAUCCUAGGACUAAGGGAGAGAAAAAGGGAUAAGUGUAAGGUUUGAAAGAGGGUUUUAUACUUGUCAGAGAGUCAAAGACAAUGGAACCCAAAGAGGUACUAUAUAUCAAAUGUGAAAGGCUUGGUGGUGUUCAUAAUGAGUUAAUCAUGGAUCUGCGAUUUAGCUAAAUUCCCAAGACUCUAAGAAAGACAGAACGAGUGGGAGAAAUAAAUGUGAUGCUAUAAUAACCCAAGAUUGAAUUUGGACUCGAUGGAGAGCCUAUUAAGAAUCUUACAAGCAAGGAAUUGUUAAGUGAUACAUGGAAGAACACACUUUCCCACGGAUAUCCCAACAAGUGUCAAGAGGCUAGCAUGAUGAAUUCACAACUAAGGGAAAGGACCACGUAACAUAUGGAAGAGUGCAUAGCUAAUCACUAACUAGGAAGAAUGAGGCAAGAAGAAUAGGAAGAAAAUCUAUAAAUUAAGAUGGUCAUAGUUAUAGUAAAAUAGUUCGUACCAGGAUUGUGGACUCGCCUAGAGCACAAGUGUUAAUAGAAGGUAUAAAGGACCAACCGUAAUGCAGCUGACUUGGGUGACACUGAAUAUCAACUAAAUGAUUUAGAGGGAGUUCAUGUCUACAUAUUACAAUGGAAAGUGAGACUACUGGUGGUGAAGUGGUGGUGUGGUAAACUCAAUAAACCAGGCACAAUGAUACUACGAGUUCAUGGGAGAUGUGUGUGGCACAAUAAGGCUAUCAACUAUGCAUUAAGGGAAAAAUGGGAUGGGAAUGAGUGUCCCAGUCACGAAGAAAAUAGUACCAACAUAUUGUCUAUGCCAAAAGGGCGAUCAAAAAGGGAAAAACAACACAAUCUACCCAAAGGACAAAAGGAAAUGUUCGAAACAGAUUGAGAGAGGAUGAAUACUUGUUACGAACCAGACAUGUUUAACAUGAUAGCUAUCAAGCUACAAUACCAGGAAACACUAUUGGUAGCUAUAAUACUGGGAAUAAGGUGAGUUACUUAUCGAGGAUGGAAUUAGGUGGACUAAGUCUUACACUUAGAAGGAAAAUAAGAAGUCGUUGUUGAAGAAUUUAGGAGGAUCUCAAGGUUUCAGAAAAGGCCCUGUUCGGGCCAGUGACUCUUUUGAAUUGAAUAUAUAUAAAAGGGUGUUGAGAUGUGCUUUGGAGGUGUUUAACAGUAAGGAUCGUGAGAAUUUUCACAAAGGAAGUAUAAUGAUUUCUUAAAUACUAUAAGGCACAUAAGAAGGAAAGAGAGUAGAUAAGAAAGGUCUGAGCAUAAUGUAGAUUUACAUUUGACGCGAUUUCAUGCAGGUUAAUGUUAUGAUGGUGUGUACACAAGCUAGAGGAUGUUAUUUAUUUGAAACGGGAGGUCCUUAUAAAAAAACUCAUCAAGUAAUGUCUUUUGUUGAGAAUUUAGAGGAGCAAGUUGCACGUAUUGACAUAAGAUUGAAACUCUAUCAAGGAAAUUAUUGUGGAACUCAAUUCCUUGGAGGUCAUAUGUAAGAGAAAUGUGCUAAAGAUGUUCCACUAAUGAUGCAUCUGGUUCAAAAGUAUGUACAUGAAAUAUUUUGUGACUCAAUGUUAUGUUAAGAUCGUGUUUAUGUUAUCUCUUUAAUAUAGAUGUCCAUAUAUGACAAGAGAAGUAAUAUAGUGUUCAUAAUAAUGUAUUUUCGUAUCGAAUCUUGAUUGGGGCAAGGAGUGGCUACAGUAACGUAUUUUGAGGGGUAUAGGGCCAAUGAAGGUAGUGAUCGAGAAUGUUAUCGUAUAUUAGAUUAUUGUCGCACUGUGUGGUGCCUCGUAUGGUAGGAGACAUAGAUCUCCCAUCGGAUAGUCUAAAGUUGGUGUAUAGAGUUAAUAGAGCGAGACCUCGUUCACUAAGCUAUGACAAAAGGCAAUAUCAUCAAGGAGUGGUUGAUGAAGGCUGGAGGUCGUCAAAAGUCAUAUUCGGAUGUUCGACAUAGAGAUUUGGAGUUUGAGGAAAAUGAAUGGGUGUUUCUAAAGAUUUUCCCCAUGAAAGCAUUACGUGAUUUGUUAAGAAAGGGAAAUUGAGUCUAAGAUACAUUGGGUUAUAUAAAAUCUCGAAACAAAAUUGGCCAAGUAGCCUAUGAACUUAAAUUACCUCAAGAGUUGUCCUCCAUGCAUCCCGUAUUUCAUGUGUCCCUGUUAAAGCAAGUGAUUGGGGAUCCGUCACUCAUUGUCCCUAUGAAGAAUGUUGGGAUUAAUGAAGGUUUGACCUAUAAAGAGGUUCCUGUUGCCAUCUUUUGUAGAUAAGUUCCAAAGUUGAGGACCAAGGAAGUUUCAUCCGUUAAGGCGUUAUGGUGGGAAAAACAUGUGGAAGAAGCGACUUAGGAGGAGGAAGAAGUUAUGAAGUGGAGAUAACCUCGCUUAUUUGUAGGAUAAGGUAAUAGUAUGUAUAGACUAUUGGAAGCCCUCUUCUUUUGGGUAUUAUGUUUUAUGCCCAUGUAUGUGCGCCUCCAUGGCUUGGAGCCGUUACGUAAGUUGAAAACAAUGAAAUGGUGUGUUUAGUUCUAUGUAUACGUACGGUGCCUUCUAUAGCACGUGGAUAUGUUUCUUUGGGUGGUUUAUGUGAUCUUUGACAGGUGGAUACACCUAAAUACAAAGGAGGCUCUACCGAAAUUUUUAAAAAUUUGGGGAGUUAGUUAAAUUUGAGGAACUAAGGCUUGAGGGUAAGUUAUGAAUGAUUAAGAUGAUGGUUUAGGGGUAAGGAGAAUGACUCUAUACUUCGAUAAAACUUGUGGGAUUUUUAGGAAGCGAUUAAGGUUUGAGAAACUAAAGGAGAUGAAUAGGUGUCAAGGAAUUAAGUACUCUCUCUCUAAGUAUGGAAAAGGCCAAGAUCCAACAUUCGAGGACGAAUGUUCCCAAGUGGGGAAGAAUGUAAGGUCCUGUAAAAAAUAAAUUCUAAUGAUUAAGACUUCAUAGUGCACCAACGACGAUUGGGAAUAAUAUUUUUUUUGAGUACUAAAGGAGACCUAUGGGGUGGAACCACAUUAUUUUGUCAUGAAAAGUGUUUCGGAACAUAUUAAGGAGGUUUGUAAGUGGGAAGAAGUUACUUGGAACGAGUUGGAUAUAUUAAGUGGAAAAGACGUCUAAAUUUUUGCACUAUACUUGACUUUGAAUGGGUAUAACUCUCAUAAUAUAAAGGUAUUUUCCAUGAAUUGUACUCUUACAGCGUAGCCCUUUGAGUCUAGUUUCUAACGCAUCUAGCUAUUCGUCAUUUGGACAUUCCUACUAAAAUUAUGAUCAAAUUACCAAAGUCAGACCACCCAGUUAUUUUGGCGGACAGCGAAGCAAGGCUCGCUUCGCCAGACCGGGCGCAGAUCCUGCCUUCCCUUGUAUGCUAUGGACAGCGAAGUGAGGCUCACUUCGCCAGACUGGGCGCGCCCCAGCUUUAGGUCCUUUUAAGUCAUUUCGUGGGCUCAUUUUCCCCAUUUUAUUUGGACGAAUUUUGAAGCUUUCCUCCACUCUCUCAAGACCCCCAACUCCUCCCAUCUUCAAAGUAAGAAAUACCCAUUGUCUUGGCUUGAAUCCUAUCAUUUCUAUACUAGAAGUAACUCAAUCCACCAUGAAAUCCUUAGAUUUUCAAGAAAUGUUUUCAAGAACUAAAGGGAGAGUUUUGCAGGAUUUCUUCCAUAAGAUAAUCCUACACCCUUAGACUUAUAUGCAUGGAUUUAUUAUGGAAAUAUGAGUAAUAAUUAAGUAUUGGAACUCAUGGGAAGGUGAUUGGAAGCCAUAAGUUCCCAAUUUAUAAACUUAGCCAUUGUGGAGAUUGAAAGGUGAUUAUUUGAUGGAAUUUUGUUGGUUGGGUGAGGAUGGAUGGUCAUGCAUGUGAUGUUGGAAGUUAUAAAUUGUUUAAGAAUGAUGGUGGGAUAAAUUGUUGGUAAAAGGUGGUAGUUGAAUGAACUAAUUCUAUGGUUAAGAGAUGUAGAGAUUUAUGCCUACUAGGUGUUUGAUAAAGUGUCUAAAUGGCCUAAAUUAUGGAAUUUGUUAUUGUAGAUUGAAGUUUCUUAGUGUAGUGGAUCAUUGUAGUAUCAUUAUGGGGCUAAUAUGAGGUAUGUUGGCUAAAUUUCUCUCUUAGAAUUGAAUCCCGCGAUGUUCUCGUAAGUCUCAAGUAUGAUGGGCCAAUUUCUUAUUUUUCAUAUCCCGAGUUAUUCAUUAUAAAUUUGACUAUUCCGAAUAAGCUUUGUGUCCAAAGAUGUAUGUUCAAAAUGUGUUCCGAAUGCUCUUGUCAUAUUAUGUUAUCAUUUGAGAAUGUGUUCAAAGUAUGGGUGGUGUAUUAAAAUAUUAUGACUUCAAGUCGUGUUUCAAAUGAAAGCUAUUAUGCCAAAUUGUGUAGAAAUCUCAAUGUGCUUAAGACUCUUAUUUGCUCACAUGUGUACUCAAAGUGUUGAAUAGAAAUGUUUUGUUGUUGAUGAUCCGUGAUGAUAUUUGAAAGUGAAAGAGGUGAGCAUGAAAUAUGAGAUACGACCAACGUGCCAAGAAUGAUAUUACAUUUGGGGCCACUAGUGCCAAUGAAAUUAAGAGACGUGUAAAAUAUGUGGAAAUGAGUAGUAAAUCCUUUAAAUAAUAAACACUCUGGGAGUAUCGUUAGUCACCGAGGAAGGGUAGAUUGAAAUAGCCUAACCCCGAAACUACACGUGCCGGUGUAGGAGUGAAUUGUGAUUAUUCCCCUCAUUUGGGAUGAGAUUGAUGUGAUGAGAAUAUUCCCUUUUAUUGGGAUGAGAUGAUUGCUAGAAAAGGGUGAUGUCGAUCCAUACGGCAUUGUGGUGAGACGGCCUAGCCGGUCGGGUCGUGAUCGGAAGCCAUGCCACACACAUGGUGGUGAUUGUGCUUGAGAUUGUGAUUGAGAUAAUGAUUGAGAUUCUUAUAGCGUUUGUGAUUGUGGUUGAUGUAUUUGGGUGAGACAACCUAGCUGAUGGGGCCAUGAUCGGACUCUGUACUAAAAUCACGGUGGUAUAUCGGUGCUAAAGAUCUCCCAAUCUAAAAUAAUGAAAUUUACUUGAAAUAUUAUCUUGCUCCUAACUUGAUGUUUUAGUAUUGUUUCAGGCUUCUGUUGAUUUUAUGACUACUCUUCCUUGUAUUGUUACCUAUUCUAAUGAGAGGGUGUUUAGUCAUACAUACUACUACUUUUCCAUAUGUACUAACAUCCCUUUUCUCGGAGGCGCUGCAUCUUUAAUGGAUGCAGGUGGUUUCGCAGCAGGUGGCAUUGAUCAUUGAUAGCAGUACAUCCUCUUCUCAGCACAUUUGGUGAGCCCCACUUCAUUCGGGGUCGUGUAUCUUUUGUCCCACGUGUAUUGUAUUUUGAGGUACAACUGGGGCCUUAUUUCCGCGUUAUCAUAGUAUUUUGUAUCCAUUGAGGCUCAGCAGAUACAUUGUGUUGUAUAUGGGUGUUGGGAAAGUCAAACUAGCCUUGUUGUAUUUGAAUCACUUGUUGCACUUUAACCGUGAUUAUGUAUGUAUUUUGAGACUAUAAAAUGAAGUGACUAAUGGUAAUGGAAUUGGCAUUGUUCAUGGAAUACAGUUAAUGGUUAAUUAAUGAUAUAAAUGUAUCUUCUCUUUAUUAAUGGACGAGUCUGGUAGAAGGUAUUGUAAAGGCUUGCUUGACUGGGGUAUCUCAGUUGAGUGCCAGUCAUGCUCCCCAAGGUCAAGGCGUGCCAAUAUACAAGUGGAACAUACCACUAAUGUGUGGCAGUGUGUGCCGCGAGUAUAUACUGUGUGUGGUUCUUGGUACAUUAUCACGAGGAGGGGUUUGAGUCAAAUUGGUGGUGGCUGGUGUAUUUUGUGGUGCUUGGGCAUAGUUUGGAACAUAAGGUGUAUGUAUAGAAGGGUUUGAUGGAUUUUUGGGUGUUACUGGUGGUAUGACUUGAGUUGUGUGGUUUUUGGUGAUAAAUGUUGGGGUAUUGGUUGUUUGUCGGGUUGAUGAAGGUAAAUGGUCAGGUAUUGAAUCUAUGGAAGGGAAGUGGGGUGGUUUCGAAAGCGUCGUCACCGCCAGGUGUGCCAGAUCCCAGAUUUGUUGUACUUCUUCUCUUAGUGACUCCAUUUCCUGUUCCAUUAUGACAACGUGUUCGUCAUUUCGGGUAUCGUCCUUUCCCCCCGACCCCCCUGGGUCGUCGGCUACUACUAGAGCGUUUCUGGCCGGGUCAUCUAUUGCGGUCAUCUUCCUCUUGGAUCUCAGAUUGUACGGUGGCUCGUCCAGUUUUAGGUAUCAACACAAACAAACCUCUAUUUUUGGGGAUAAAAUAAAGCGAUAAUACGAAAACAUAAAUAUAAGUAGAAGUCAGUUUCAGGGAUUGCACAAAUAUAAUCACAUAGAGCAGUUAGUUCACGUAUUCAGACAAACGCGUUUCCUAAUAUACGUAAGGAGCUCUCUUUGCCGGAGGUAGGCUUAUAUCGCGAGCAUUUGACAAACAAUCAGAUUUUGACACAUUCAGAUUCAGAGCAAAUUUUAAUUUUCUUUGAUAGGCUUUGUGGGUUACAAUAAGGCUUCAUCACUGAUACAAGAUGGGGGCAAUUGUUAAUGGCUAUAACAUGUUUCUCAAAGGUUUACAAUAGAUUGCAUGCGCUUAUAGAUUCGCCCUUAGAAAAUGAAAAGGUACAAGAAAGGAAAAUCAACCAGCAACUUAAUAAUUGUCCCUGGAGUCACCUCCUAAGAUUUCUUCUUCCGGCUCCUCCUUGGGGUAUUCUUCAACCUCCUCCUCAUCUUCAUCAUUGUUGUAUUCUAGUUCCUCCUUGGGAUCUUCCUCUAGCUCUAUUUCUAACUCAAUCUGUAUGUAUUCAAUCACCUGAUCAUCGUCAUCAGGCGGUGGCAGCAUGUGGUCGACUGACCCAGGAACUACUUGUUGAUGCAUGGCAGUGGUGAGGAGAUAGUAGGGCAGGAUCUCGUGAUAUAUCUUCAGAGAUGUGGCUGAAUCCUCCAAUCCGGUUAAUCCUUCUCUACUGAGCUUGGCCAGCUCAUCUUCUUCAUUGAUCCACACAAAGUACUCAGACGUGCACCAGGGAUUUUGUCCCAUCCCCAUUGUAAUAAAGUCGUUCCAUUCAUCUUGGAGCCUCCUCACCCUCGGGAUCAGAAUCUGUCCAUUGUAAUCAUCUUCAUACAAAGUUGUCCUUGACAAGAGAGGGAUGUCUUGAAUCAGAUCAAAUUGCCUCAGAACCCUUAGAGGUGCAUACGGCUGAAUCCCUUCCAAUCCUACCAACUCAAUGAAGUACUUCCCCGAGCUCCUCAAGAUUGCCCUGCCACUCAACCAGGAAAGUUUCCAAUUUAUGAAUUCUCCACUUAGAUGGGUCAGCAUUUCCCGCCAUUCCUCAUGUCCAUGUGGCGUAACCUAGUGCCUCAUCCUUUUGUUAUGGCUUCAAAUCAUGUUACUGAUGCCAACAAAAUAGUCAACGAUUGCCUCCCUCUGGAAGAAAUGUUCUGUAGCCCAUAUCUGGAGUAGAAAGUUGCAGCCCCCCUCUGGAAGAAGUGUUUUGUAGCCCAUAUCUGGAAUAGCAAGUUGCAGCCUUUGAAAAAAUCAUAUCCUCUUGAGCAUUUCGACAGUGCUCGAAAUAUCUAUGCCGGUAUCAUGGGAAUAAAGGUGGCUUGCAGAUUUCCCUGGAAGGUUGCCAAAACCAGGGGCAACAAGUUAAUGUUGAUUCGUCCCUUUCUUUAUGGGAACCAAUAGUCCUAACAGUGCCAGAGAAACGGUUAAGGGGCAGAGGCUUUGCCAUGAUGCUUGAUCGCACUGAAAUUCUCAAGAUUCCACUCAUAGCUCUCUCGGUGUCUGAAUCUGUCAAAUAGCUAGUCCAAACUUACCCAUCCAUCUUUGACGUUUCUCACGUUUUCGUUGCUUGUCAGACCCAGUGCAUGGAGGAACCUAUGAUUUGGCAUGAUGACUAGCAAUAUUGGUUUUCGCCCAGCGAAUGGUAUCUUCGUGAAGCUAGUAAUCUCCUCCAGUGUUGGCAUCAACUAACAAUCAACAAAUUUGAGGACCACCUUAGCUACGUCCUAAAACUCUAUCAGCAGCCUAAUAAGGACUUCGUCAGCUUGGAUGUUCAUCAAGGUGGUUAGUGCUCCCAGGUGUGUUCUGAUCUCGUUCCCAUAUUCCUAUCGAAUAUUCCUCCACCACUUCUUCCACUUGUGAGGUGCACCCAUGACCAUAUUAAUCUCGGGGACGUUGCAGUUGAUUUCCAUCUGAAGAGGUGAAAGAUUUGGUAAGUGUCUGCUCCAGAUCUUUUUUGUCUUAUCUAGAUUGAUUCAUCAUUCAAUAGAAAGAAUGUUGUUGGGUGCAUAACCCGUUGACAUUAAGGUGGCUUUCCUAUCAUAAGUCAAUACCAAGGAUUGACCCACCUAAGGUUUAUGCAGCAUGACCUAUGUUUGCUAAGAGUAGAGUGUUUCUUAAUUUUGGAGUUGGACUGAAUAACUGCAAGAUGUUAUGUUAGUUGACCUGACAACGUCGUUCUCUGAAACUAGAGAGAUUUGAAAGAAGGUUUGGAGGGGUAUAAAAGACAACCCUCGCAUGUCAUUUGUGUGUGAUUGUGUAUGACUAAGACUCGAUAGGAAAGAUAUGAUGACUGUAUAAAUUAGUAAUAGAUAAUUAUGAUAAAGCAGUUGAAAAGCAUAAGCAAGUAGAAUAAUGCGAGUGAACACACUUUCCAGGUUUAGCAGAAUAUAACAAACAUCCUCAAAGUUCAAGUCUACCCUAAGUCUGCUAAGGUCAGAACCUAAGUGUAAAAAUCCCCAACAUAGUCGCCAUGUUAUUGCACCCUAUUUUGCACUAACCAAAACAAAAUAUAAUUGAUGGUUCAUCUGAAGUUGAUAAUAGAGAAUCGCCACCUAAUAUUUUAAGGUAUAUUAGGGUACCUAUGGGUUUGUAAGAUUUGGGUAAUCGGUGAGAUUUGGGUAAGGGUUCUAGUUAUUCUAAGGAGAAGGUGUUAGGCACCCCUCAAAAUCUACCUGAGGUAGCUCCUAAGGCUUAGGCUAGGUUCGAGGAAAGAGAUGUCUAUAUUCACCUUAACUAGUGUUCAAAGUCUGAAAAGUAUUCUAUGUUUUGUCUAAAAAUUACUACUUUAAGAAGGUUAUGUAUACUUUGAAAAGAAGUUAUUUAUAAGUAGGAAAUCACCUUUCAAAUAUAUUUAGUUGAAAAGCUAGAUAUACGUUCGUUUUAGAGAAAAGACCUUGUAAACAUUCUUUGCUUGGGUAUAAGCUUCAAAGAGGAUGUUACCUAUUUAUGACUUUGUAGAAUAAGAAACUAUUUUGAAAGUAUACCUCAAGUUGGAAUGAGUGUGCCUUAUUUGUAAACCAAUUUCAGCAAGAAGUUUAUAUUUUUGAAAUUUGUUGAAGUCUAUCAGUUUACAAAUAUCGAAUAUGUUUGAAUUUACUUCUUGAAAAUAACUUUGCAAUCAUUUUUGCAAUCUGAUUUCCCAAAGAGAAUUCUCUUUCGCUUUUGAAUCUGUCGAAGUCCAAAACUCAUUGAAAAUCAUUAGUAAUAACAAGAUAAAACUCUUUUGUUUUGCUGGAAAGAUUAAACUUGAAAUUAGCGAUAAAAUAUAAACUGAGGCGAGCGAGAUUAUUAUUUAGCUUUUACCUACUAGUUAUGGGUUGCCUAAGUUCCUAGAUAAUCAAAAUAUAAAAAAUUAUCCAAUAAAUAAGUUAGUUAUUCAGAGAUAUAUACAUGUAAAAUAGCAAACAUCAGUGAAUAUUGUUCAAGGUAAAAGAAAGGAAGCAACUGUACUCUUGACUGUUGGGCUGGUGAGUCUAACCAGGCCCAACAGAAUUUGGCAGGCCCCAUCAUGCGGACAAGGAGCAGGAUGGAUUUGAAAUUGGGCCUGAGUUCCCAAUAGAACUCAAAAGACCCAAUUUGAAACACGCACACCAAAAAUAAAAUAAAAAAUAAUUAGUGUAUAUCAAUCAUAAAACUAAGUAAAAUAAGGAUUAUGACAAAUAAUAAUGAAGAACUAAAGAAUAUGGUGAGACAACUUUUAUUCAUGUUAACCCUAUAAGGAUUAAUGAAAGUCAGUAACUAAAGGCUUGGUAUGAAUCCUCAUUUAUGGACAUGAUCCCCUUUGUGAGCCCUUGGCACUUUAGAGUUCACGAGGGUGUCACGGACCCUGAUAAAUGCUUAUGUCAAGGAGUGAGAUCAUAACCACAAUAACUUUUCACAUCCAAAUACCCUUAACCACCCACUAUUAAUCUUCCUAAAAGGUUUAAACACAAAUAAAGGAUCAGCACAAUAAUUUCAUAUGGCCAAGACACACACAGUAGGUGUAACAGUCAUGAUAAACCCUCUAAGGAUUCAAGUACACAAAGACUCCACAACUGUGAACAAAUAGGAUACUAUAAUUCAUCAUCAAAGUACAAAAGCAGUCAAGGGCAUAAUAUUGGCUUAAGAGGAUUCAUAUCAGAGUAUAAGAUACACAGGCAUGCAUAAGAUCACUGUGGAUACAUAGUUAGACAAGAAAAUAAGGUACAUACCAUAGACAUGUUUCAUUGCUUAUAGAUUCUAGACCCAGAAGUAUUAUCAGACAAGAAUUACACAGAGGUGAGCAUAGGUGCAUGUUUUACUGUCUUCAGUGUAGGUUGAAUGUUCCAGAAUUCUCCUAGGCAGAUUCAAGAUUAUAAGAACAAGU